UCCCUGGUGGCUUAGUGGGUUAAAGAUCUAGCAUUGUCACUGCUAUGGCUCUGGUUUGUUCCCUGCCCUGGGAA
rnacentral:tRNA from 1 species